rnacentral:rRNA from 1 species
GAUGAACGCUGGCGGCGUGCCUAAUACAUGCAAGCCGAGCGAACAGACGAGGAGCUUGCUCCUCUGACGUUAGCGGCGGACGGGUGAGUAACACGUGGAUAACCUACCUAUAAGACUGGGAUAACUUCGGGAAACCGGAGCUAAUACCGGAUAAUAUAUUGAACCGCAUGGUUCAAUAGUGAAAGACGGUUUUGCUGUCACUUAUAGAUGGAUCCGCGCCGCAUUAGCUAGUUGGUAAGGUAACGGCUUACCAAGGCAACGAUGCGUAGCCGACCUGAGAGAGGGAUCGGCCACACUGGAACUUACACACGGUCCAGACUCCUACGGGAGGCAGCAGUAGGGAAUCUUCCGCAAAGGGCGAAAGCUUGACGGAGCAACGCCGCGUGAGUGAUGAAGGUCUUCCGAUCGUAAAACUCUGUUAUUAGGGAAGAACAAAUGUGUAAGUAACUAUGCACGUCUUGACGGUACCUAAUCAGAAAGCCACGGCUAACUACGUG